UGUCCACAGAGAACCUGGUUUGAAACAUGGGUCCUGAUUCUUCAGGACACCUGUGAACAUGUACACUACACGUAGGGACUGGGUGGGCUACUUUUGCUUUUUGUUUUAUUUUCCUAAUCCAGCAUCAGGUGUCAGACCAGAGCCCUCAUGAUACAAGUUACGACUGCAUAUAACAAAGUCCAGAGGCGAGCGGGAGGUGGGAUCAGUAAACAGGACCACGUCACCAGGCAUCCCCUUGUGCUGGUGCACAUGGAAGCUGCUGUCACAUGUCCUGCACGUGUAUGUCACUCAGUGGCUAUCCAUAAAGAGACGUCAUAGGUGGAGAACCCCAGAAGACCUCGAUCUUUUAAAGACCAGCAUCUUUUUGAGAAUGAAGAAACCAUGUGGUGAAAAGUCAUGGGCCUCCCAUAGCCAUGCAUGUCUGAGUGGGCAGUUCUUCGAGCUAAACACGGAACCCAUGGCACCACUUGUGCCAAGAAUUUGUCAACUUGUAUCAAACAUCCACACGACAGUCAAUUUUCUUUUCUUGUUCAUCCUCAGACGUGUAAAAUAAAACCACGGACCUGUAGAGCUGGAAGGAUCCGUGAACUGAGAGCAGUAUCUGGAGAAGGGUGCAGUGGGCGGUGGGAUGCCAUCCUAGCUCACCCGUCCCACCCCUGCCUGCCCAUCCAUCCAGGCCUUGCAGCCCGCACACAGGGCUGUCUCGCUCCCUGCACUGCUCUGCCUGCAGAUCUCCAGAGACUUACAGAUUUGAAUGAGACCGGACAACAAGAGGAAACGGUUCUUUCCAGAGCUGAGCUGGCUUCAUUUGCAUAUGAUUCGGGGCAAGGGGUUCCGCUGAACCCCAAGACAAUCUAGGGCUUGUGGUUACUGUGCCGUAUGCAGUGCCUAACACUGGCUGCAAAAGAAGUGUCAUUCUGUUACAGGAAAUCCACUUCAAGUAAUGGAAGAGACUCAUUUUUCCAUAAGAAAACGUUUGAUCAAGAGCGGAGUAUUCAUCAGGGAUGCAGUUGAAUUUCAGUUCCAAAGCUGUCACCGUAAUAUUCUGGAGCCUUGCAGCCCCAAGUGGACACGUACAUUUACAGAUCUUGCGGGGGAUUUUGCAAACCACAAUGGUAGUAAUGGACGACGCUCACGGGAAGUCAUAAAGGAGCUCAGUGUGGUCACGGCCCAGGUGGGAUGUAGUACCACGGAAACGCUAAUGCCCAUCUUGGGAAAGUGGACCCCAUGUGCCAGCAGGGCAGCCAGUGACGGGAAUCCAGGCCAGCAACCGGGGCACGCGGACAGCAGACGGCUUCAGUGCAAAUAUAUGACACGUACUAUCUUCAGCUCGGAGUCAUGGGGGAUCGCAGGCGGCCGCCUGGCCCAUGCUCUGGAAGACCGUGGAGCAUGUGCACCUCGCAGGGGAAGCGCCUGGGCUGUGCCUGUCACCCACCCCACGGGGACAGAAAUCAAACAGAAGAGAACCACCGGAUGAGAUUUACGGUAACAGAAAUCACUGCUCGCUAACUUUUAAGUUAGGCUCUGGAAUACAAAACACAGUUCUGAUUGAAAUGGGUAUAAAAGCAGAUUAACGGGGAUGCCUUUUGGUCCCCGGUUCACAGAACCAUCAAAAGCACUCGUUCAAAGAUUUCAGGUCAAUACCUCUUUCCUGUUGGCCAGUUUGGACAGAAAAGAUUCAAAUCCACCUGGAACCUCUGGCCCCACCCAGUCUGCGUGACAGAGCGGAGGGCACAGGUGCAUCGGGCUCCCGCGUCUGUCCCUGAACCACGAAAACUCCGUGGUGUACUGAGUCCUCCAGAGUGGCUGUCACUCUUGUCCCCGGGCUCCCCCCAGUUCAAUUCAGAGCCUGACAGAUGUUUGCAAUCACAUGUGAGGGGACGGCUGGUCAGGGAAAUAGAGAAAUUCUGUUUUCAAGAUUGAAUUAAACUUAAAAAGAAAGUUUCUCA